rnacentral:misc_RNA from 1 species
CAUCUUUUAUGGUUGCAUCUAAUAUAACAAUUGCUUGAAACAGAUAAUUGGAGCUCAACUGGCAUCUGAUUUUACUUAAAAUAUGUAAAUGGUGAGAAGUUACAAAAAUGAGAUGAUGUUCAACCAUUUUGAAAGUCAGUGGAUGAUAAAAAAAUAUUCAGUAAUUAUACUAUGUCAUGCACGAGAUUAUCAAGUGCAUGAGCAACCAAUAUGUUAGAUAUCAAUAGUGACAACAAGAUGCAACAUCCGAAAGGUCCACUUACCAAUUUCAAGUUUUUAACAGCGAACAAUUUUAGGCAUUUAUUUAGCCCCUUCUUCUCAAAUUACAGCAACACACCCUUCUGAUCAAAUUUGGUAUUAAUGAAAAACAAGUCUGCCAUUAAGGCCGUGACUAAUGCAAGCACUCAAAAAUUUAAAUUCCAAAAUCAGAUUUCCCUUAUCCUCACAAGCAAAUUCG